AACACGUAGUCAACCUGCCCUGGAGACGCGGACAACCCCGGGAAACUGGGAUUAAUCCGUGAUAGGUCAUCUCAUCUGGAAGGAGAGAUGGCUUAAAGGGGUGCGAGAGCUUCUUUUUCGUAUCCGCUCCAGGAUGGGACUGCGACCGAUCAGGCUGUUGGCGGGGUAAUGGCCCACCAAACCUGUAACCGGUACGGGCCUUGAGAGAGGGGGCCCGGAGAUGGACACUGAGAAAAGGGUCCAGGUCCUACGGGGCGCAGCAGGCGCGAAACCUUCGCAAUGCGCGAAAGCGUGACGAGGUUAAUCCGAGUGGUCCCCGCUGAGGGGAUCUUUUGUCGGCUGUAAAAAGGCCGGUGAAUAAGGGGAGGGCAAGUCUGGUGUCAGCCGCCGCGGUAAUACCAGCUCCUCGAGUGGUCGGGGCGAUUAUUGGGCCUAAAGCAUCCGUAGCCUGUUCUGUAGGUCCUCUGUUAAAUCCAACGGCUCAACCGUUGGCGGGCAGAGGAUACCGCAGGACUAGGAGGCGGGAGAGGUGGGCGGUACUCCACGUGUAGGGGUAAAAUCCUUUAAUCCGUGGAAGA
rnacentral:rRNA from 1 species